CUUUACCUCCACCCUGGCUGCCCUCUUUGGGUCAUUUUAUGUUUUCAAUGUGGAAUACCAGGAGGACGCAGCCUCAGCCCUGGAGUUCAUCCCGAGGUUUCUUGUCAGGAUAAACCCUGAAAAUUCGAAAUGCAAAUCUGAGUUCCAGGUGAGCAGAAAGAGCAGGAGGAUUGUUAGGAGGAAAACCACAGCCUUAAACCCACAAGUUGCAUCUUUCAUUAGGGAGUUUGAACAAUAUGACUGGCAGAAUCAUUAAGGAUUAUCAGAAGUGUGACUUUUUCCACAUGACACCAGCCCUCCUCACCUGGCUUCAUCCUCAC